AUGCCGUGCUGCACUGAGCCGUACCGUACCGAGCCAUGCUGUAGUAAGCCAUACCAUACCGAGCCGUGCCGUGCCGUACUGAGCUGUUCCGCACCGAGCCUUGCCAUACUGAGCCAUACCGUACCUUACCAUACCAUACCACACGGUACCGAGCCGUGCCGCGCCGUGCCGUGUCCUACUGUGCCGUGCUGCACUGAGCCGUACCGUACCGAGCCAUGCUGUAGUAAGCCAUACCAUACCGAGCCGUGCCGUGCCGUACUGAGCUGUUCCGCACCGAGCCUUGCCAUACUGAGCCAUACCGUACCUUACCAUACCAUACCACACGGUACCGAGCCGUGCCGCGCCGUGCCGUGUCCUACUGUAGCCGUACCGCACCGCACCGCACCGAGCCGCGCCGUGCCCCUCAGCGCCGCCGCCUCCGUCGCGUCGCCUCCCGGUGGGCGCCCCCGGCGGCCGCCCCCCCCCCCCCCCCCCCCCCCGCCGCCGCCCCGCUCCGCACCUCCGACAUACGCCUCCGCGGAGACGGCAGCGUCGUCCUGCCCUCCCCGCCGCCCGGUAAGCGACCGUCGCAACGCGGGGGUGGAGUCGGCAGCGCCCGGACGGGGAAGGGGGGCCGGUACCGGCACUUGCCGGCAGCGGGAAUUACCGGCAGUGGGACUUACCGAUACCGGUUCUUACCGGCGCCGGCAGGGGGUGCUGCACUGCGCCGCCCGCCCGGGAAGGCUGGCGUCGCGGAGGGACUGGGGGGUAUCGGCUGUGAGGGGGCACCCGCAGCAGUCGCUCCCCCCGUGGGGAAGGAUCGGUACCGGCGGCGGGGAACGGGCAGGAGAAGCGGCACCGGCAAGGAGGGGGUGGGCACUGGCGUCGCUGGCACCAACAGAAGGGGACCGGUGUGGUACUGGAGGCACCGGCUCCGGGGAUGCGGCACCAGAGAGACUGGGAAGGAUGGGCGAGAGACCACCGGAGGGCGGGAAGGCGGCACCGGCACCGGCAGGGAUGGGGGCGAACCCCAAGACCGGUCCUGGCGUCGGCACCGGCGCUGGCACAGCCAGGACCAUUGCUGGCACCGCAGCUACCGGCACAGAGUGGCGGUCCCGGUGA
rnacentral:lncRNA from 1 species